GGCAUCUUCUUUUAUCAGUUUAUAGUGUAAAUUAAUAAGACUAACGUUGACUAAAAGUCUACCCUGAAUUAAUUUGUCGGACUGACUUCACUUUUCAUUCUCCGACACCGGCUGAUCUCCGUCGCUCUCUGUCAAUGGGGAAAAAUUACUGUGAUUUUAGUCCUUUCUUGUUUCCCUCUACAAUAGUCUCUUAUGAUCCUUCUUCUUCUUCUUCGUCUUCUUCUUAUUCUUCACUUCCAUUGUCUUCUCCAUCAUCUCCAAGUCUAAAUUCCCAUUUUCAAAUCUCAUCAAGUCUUCCAUUACAUCCUUAUUCCCAAUCUUCUUCAAGUUCUUUUCAUCCUCCUCCUCCUCCUGCUGCUGCUGGUGGUCCUUGCGCUGCCUGCAAGAUCCAUGGUCGGCGAUGCACUGACAAAUGUUAUGUGGCUUCUUAUCUACCUAUCAAUGAAGCACACAAAUUCAUUGUCUUUGAUGGACUGUUUGGGGCAACAAAUGUCGUCCAAUUCCUUCAGAACAACAAUUCAUCAUCAUUUAUUCCACUAUUAUUGCUGUUGAGAGACUCGAGUCAAGAAGGGGAACCCCAGGUAGAUCCCAGCUUGAAUUUUGUUCCAUGUGGAACUAACCAACUUGGGGCACCCAAAAAUUCUGACCAUGUAUUGACAAAAGCAACCACAGGAUUGGAGUGUGAUUUCUUAAAUAAUCUCUCUUCAGGACUCAUGUUUGCAAACCCAAAAGAUCCUCAACAGGAACUUCCAUCAUCAUCAUCAUUGGUUCCCAAGAGACAGAAAUUAUAUAAAGUUCCAGAAGACUCGAGUCAAGAAGGGGAACUCCAGGCAGAUUCCAAUAUGAAUAAUGUUCCAUAUGGAACUAACAUAGAUGGUCAAAUUGAGGCACCCAUGAAUUCUAACCAUAUAUUGACAAAAGGGACUGUAGGAUUGGGGUAUGAUUUCUUAAAUAAUCUCUCUUCAGGAGUCCUGUUUGCCAACCCAAAACACCCUCAACAGGAACCUCCACCUUUAAUGGUUUCCAAGAACUGUGGAGUUCCAAAUGUGGUAUCCAAUUCAAUCAACUCCACAGUCAAUCUUAGCAGCAUCUUCAAUAGAGAUACUUCUGAAUCUACACCUCAAUUGCAGCAGAAGCAAACAUUUGUAAAGAUUUACAAGUCAGGGUCCUUUGGCAGGAAGCUGGACAUUGCCAAAUUCAGUAGCUACCAUGAAUUGGUGAGAGAGUUAGAUCAUAUAUUUUGCCUCCAAGGGAAGUUGGAGGAUCCUGUGAGAUCAGGCUGGAAGGUUGUAUUCGUCGACAGGGAGAAUGAUGUUAUUCUUCUCGGUGAUGUUCCAUGGCUGGAAUUUGUAGAAGGGGCGUGCGCCAUUAAACUACUGUCACCACAAGAAGUUCAACAAAUGGGCAGCCAUGACUGGCUCUGAACUUAGAGGACUUUUCCAAUGGUAUACUUGUGAAGACUACUGUUUGAUUAAUGUCAGUUUUGAUCCUACGAUUAAAGAUUCUUUUCUCAAAUCAAGCAUUGAGGGACCCAUAUGAUGAAGUAAGAAGAAAACCAAAUCUAUCAUGAAAUAAAAGGUUUAUAGAUUUAUCAAAUGGCGCCGUCUGUGGGGACGAAAGAGAUUUUUACUAUCUCUAAAGUUCCUAAAUUCACCCAUUGAGAUCCACAUGAAGGUAUGAAAGUUUAUACAAAAAGAAAGCUGGAGGUUUACAAUAACCCAACUGAAAAGAAAAAUUCAUUAUGUUCAGGAUUACUUUGAUAGUCUUUCAGAUAGUUUAUUUUAAUAUUUAUUGAAUUUUAUUACUAUUAAUUUUUUCCUUAAAAUCUAAUGAAGUGAAACUUCAGAUCGAAAUACUUAUCUAAGAGUAUAAAAUCUUAAUAUUUUCUAUAAGAAGGAAAAAAAAGAGUGAUAUAUAUAUUUGUUGAAAUUGUGAGAUCGGCCGUGUAUAUGUGAUUUUAGAGGUUCCUUCCUGUGUAUGGCACAUCGAGAGUACCUUAGUGUUAGGGUUCUAGAAUCUUAAAGGGACUAAAAUGUAAUUUUUCCAACAUGGGAUUUUUCAGAAACAAGAUGGGUAGAAAUUAGUAUAAAAUAGUAGUAUCAAAAGUGUUAUGUCAAUUUCUUGUAAUUCAUUUUCAUGUAUUUAUUAAGGGGGGUGUCACCUCAGAAAUAUUGAUGUCUCCUCCUGCCACAUCCCAACUUGUCCUUAAGGCUCUUUAGGGGGAGUGACUAGUUGGCCACCAGUGGGAACUGGGCCCAACUAGCCACCAUAGGCCUAUCGAGUCCCUGUGCUGUGCCUCCACCCUUGUAGGCGUUCCCCCUUGUCUGCAAGUGGUGCGAGGAUCAUUGUAUUGAAUUGUGUAAUGAUUAUUUUGCUCCUGAAAUGAAAUGAGUAGCCCUUUUAUCAAAAUAUCGGUGCCUACAUGUGAUAUCUUGGUUGCUUAUGUCAUUAUGCUUGUUGGGUGCUAAUAUCUGCUUGAUAUGUUUUUAUCUUGCUCGCUUUAACAGUAUUCUAGCCUCUUGGCUAACCGACGUGCUUCGUUGUGCAGACCAAUGUGUAGAUACAUCGGCUGACUUGCCUUGAUAGCGUUCAAGUUAAGUGCCACACGAUCCCAAUUGAGUGCCAAAGCCUGGGCCCGUGACACCCGGCACCACAAAACCGGCUGAGAUAAUGAAGCGACAGUAAGGCUAAAAAGCCUGAAUCUUGGGCAAGACCUCAGUGAGGUAGGUAACCGCCAUCGGAAAAUGACCCCCGGUACCACAAAAAAUUUGCUAAGAUGAUGAAGCGACAGUAAGGCCAAAGAGCCUGAAUCUUGCGCAAGACCUCAGUGAGAUAGGUAACCGGUCUCGAAAAAUGACUGCCGGCACCACAAAAUCGGCUGAGAGGAAGAAGCCCUCAGUGAGGUAGGUGACUGGUCUCGAAAAAUGACCUCCGGCACCACAAAAUCGGCUGAGAUGAUGAAGUGACAAUAAGGCUAAUGAGCCUGAAUCCCAUGCAAGGCUAGAGAGCCUAGAAGCGACAGUAAAGCUAAAGAGUCUGAAUCUUGCGCAAGACCUCAAUGAGGUAGGUGACCGACCUCAGAAAAUGACUCCCGGCACCACAAAACCGACUGAGAUGAUGAAGCGACAAUAAGGCCAAAGAGCC